ACUCCUACGGGAGGCAGCAGUGGGGAAUCUUAGACAAUGGGGCGAACCCUCGAUCUAGCCAUGCCGCGUGAGUGAUGAAGGCCUUAGGGUUGUAAAGACUCUUUCUAGCUGGGAAGAUAAUGACGGUACCAGCAGAAGAAGCCCCGGCCUAACUCCGUGCCAGCAGCCGCGGUAAUACGGAGGGGGCGUAGCGUUGUUCGGAAUUACUGGGCGUAAAGCGCACGUAGGCGGACCAGAAAGUUGGGGGUGGAAAUCCCGGGGCUCAACCCCGGAACUGCCUUCAAACUAUUGGUCUGGAGUUCGAGAGAGGUGAGUGGAAUACCGAGUGUAGAGGUGAAAUUCGUAGAUAUUCGGUGGAACACCAGUGGCGAAGGCGGCUCACUGGCUCGAUACUGACGCUGAGGUGCGAAAGGCGUGGGGAGCAAACAGGAUUAGAUACCCUGGUAGGAUACCG
rnacentral:rRNA from 1 species